CUCCCAGGCGAGUGCGUGACCUACUCCACGGGUAUUUUUUGCUCAAACCUGGAUGCUCAGGGAAGCCGUAAGCUAGGAUCUGGGUCGGAGAGGGACCUGACGACCCAACAAAGUUAGAUAUUUCACUAUGUUCGAAUGGCAUAUUUAACUAGUGCCGUUGGUGGGCCACCAUGGGCAGUCCACAUAUGUCCUAGGCUAUCUGUGAAUAUGAUCCAACACAACUGAGGGACAGCACCAUCACCCAGUGUCGUGCUUGUGGAUCAAGAUGUAAGCACUCAGCUAAUUCACCAGCGCCAUGCCUGCCUGCCUGUCGCUUUGGUCUCUGCCAUAAUAGUCAUGGAUUCCAACCCUCUGAAACUGUAAGCAAACCCCCAAUAAACUGUUAAUCUCUAA
ensembl:antisense 1700065D16Rik RIKEN cDNA 1700065D16 gene